rnacentral:rRNA from 1 species
AUUGAACGCUGGCGGCAGGCCUAACACAUGCAAGUCGAACGAGUGGCGGACGGGUGAGUAAUGUCUGGGAAACUGCCUGAUGGAGGGGGAUAACUACUGGAAACGGUAGCUAAUACCGCAUACCAUCAGAUGUGCCCAGAUGGGAUUAGCUAGUAGGUGGGGUAAAGGCUCACCUUGGCGACGAUCCCUAGCUGGUCUGAGAGGAUUACCAGCCACACUGGAACUGAGACACGGUACAGACUCCUACGGGAGGCAGCAGGGGUGAAUAUUGCACAAUGGGCGCAAGCCUGAUGCAGCCAUGCCGCGUGUAUGAAGAAGGCCUUCGGGUUGUAAAGUACUUUCAGCGGGGAGGCGUUACCCACAGAAGAAGCACCGGCUAACUCCGUGCCAGCAGCCGCGGUAAUUC